UUGCGUGAAAUUUGGUAAGUAUUGUAAUAAAACCGAAUUAUUUUACAAAUAAAUUAUAAUUUUGCAUUUAUUAGGUCAUUUCCUUAGUGUUUCGCUGACCGACCUGUGAUGGUAUUGUGAUUAAGAGCUAAUACACAUUUUUCGGACGAUUCUGCUGUGCUGCGUUCCUGCUCCGCCUGUAUAUUGCUCCGCCCGUAUUUUAUAGUGUUGCGUUCCUGUUGCGCCUUUGCAUUAGUGUGUGCGUUGUGAUUUAGACACGUUGAAAUUUUUUGUAUGCUUCUGCUGUGCUGCGUUCCUGCUCCACCCGUGUAUUAGAUUGCUGCGUUCCUGUUAACAUACAUAUCGUCGCUUAAAGUACAAAACCGCGUAACUGACAUUUGCUGCUAAAAAUUGGAUUCGCUCACACACGUUUUUGGAUCAAUCCUUAUCCAUUCUUCCUGAAAUAUACUAGCCAAAAAUGCGAUUGCUUUUUACAAAAAGAUAACCAUUUUGAAAUAUGAGUGUUUUUACUCUCUAGAAAUUAAUUUAUGCAACCUCGCAUACGUGGGUUUGCAUUAUCUCUAUACGCGGUUUUGCAAUUUAUUGAUACAUGGUUUUGUACUUUAAACGACGAUAUGUA